UCUUAAUUGGAGGAUUGUAUGAAAGGUUAAACGAAUAGAAUAGGGUUUUGAAUUUAAUGUUUGAAAUUAAUUAAUAGGUUAAAAUGCCUAUUUAAAGUUUAGGGACAAGAAGACCCUAUAAAGUUUUAUUAAGGAAUAUUAUUUUAUAUUAAAUUUCUUAAUUUUAUUGGGGCAAUAUUAUAAGAUAAAAUUUUAUAUUUAAAUAUAACUAUAAAGAUUUUUAGGAGCCAUUAAGAAUGAGUAUUUGAUAAAAUUACUUUAGGGAUAACAGCACAAUUAAAGUUUUAAAGUCCGUAUUUACAACUUUGGUUAUGACCUCGAUGUUG
rnacentral:rRNA from 1 species